AAUGGACGAGAGUCUGAACCAGCCAAAUCGCGUGAAGGAAGACUGCCCUACGGGUUGUAAACUUCUUUUGUACAGGAAUAAAAGACAUUACGUGUAAUGUAUUGCAUGUACUGUACGAAUAAGCAUCGGCUAACUCCGUGCCAGCAGCCGCGGUAAUACGGAGGAUGCGAGCGUUAUCCGGAUUUAUUGGGUUUAAAGGGUGCGCAGGCGGGAUUUUAAGUCAGCGGUGAAAUUUUCAGGCUCAACCUGAACACUGCCGUUGAAACUGGGAUUCUUGAGUAUGGAUGAAGUAGGCGGAAUUCGUUGUGUAGCGGUGACAUGCUUAGAUAUAACGAGGAACUCCGAUUGCGUAGGCAGCUUACUAAGCCAUAACUGACGCUCAAGCACGAAAGCGUGGGGAUCAAA
rnacentral:rRNA from 1 species